rnacentral:rRNA from 1 species
UGAGUAACACGUAUCCAACCUGCCGUCUACUCUUGGCCAGCCUUCUGAAAGGAAGAUUAAUCCAGGAUGGCAUCAUGAGUUCACAUGUCCGCAUGAUUAAAGGUAUUUUCCGGUAGACGAUGGGGAUGCGUUCCAUUAGAUAGUAGGCGGGGUAACGGCCCACCUAGUCAACGAUGGAUAGGGGUUCUGAGAGGAAGGUCCUCCACAUUGGAACUGAGACACGGUCCAA